CAAUACUGGGAGUGGCGCACGGGUGCGUAACGCGUACACAAUCUACCUCUAAGGCGGGGGACCACCUCCUGGAAACGGGGAUUAAUACCGCAUAAUAUGCCGAGGUCGCAUGACUUUGGUAUUAAAGCAGCAAUGCACUUAGAGAUGAGUGUGCGUCCCAUUAGGUAGUUGGUGAGGUAAACGGGCUCACCAAGCCCUAUGAUGGGUAGCCGGUCUGAGAGGAUGGUCGGCCACACGGGCACUGAGACACGGGCCCGACUCCUACGGGAGGCAGCAGUAAGGAAUAUUGGUCAAUGGUGGAAACACUGAACCAGCCAUGCCGCGUGGAGGAAUAAGGUCCUACGGAUUGUAAACUCCUUUGACGAGGAAGAAAGUGUUAGAUUUAUCUAAUUUUGACGGUACUCGUAGAAUAAGCACCGGCUAACUCCGUG
rnacentral:rRNA from 1 species